rnacentral:rRNA from 1 species
UACGAAGGGGGCUAGCGUUGUUCGGAAUUACUGGGCGUAAAGCGCGCGCAGGCGGCUAUCCAAGUCAGUGGUGAAAGCCCGGAGCUCAACUCCGGAACUGCCAUUGAAACUGUUUAGCUUGAGGACGAGAGAGGUGAGUGGAAUUCCCAGUGUAGAGGUGAAAUUCGUAGAUAUUGGGAAGAACACCGGUGGCGAAGGCGACUCACUGGCCCGUUACUGACGCUGAGGCGCGAAAGCGUGGGGAGCAAACAGG